CGACCGUCGAACACGUGACAGAAUGCUGCCGCGGAGGCGCUUGCCGCCUCCUCGGCCCCGCCGGCCUCCUCCCUCUCGCCCUUCCGGGCGCGUUGGUUGCUGGCCGGAAYACGGCGCGGGAUGACGCCAAGGAACACGGUAAAGCUGAGGCGCCGGCGAGCCGCUCGAGGUCUCCGUCGGUUGCCAAGGCCAACAGAAAAAAAAAUAUGACUCUCGGCAACGGAUAUCUCGGCUCUCGCAUCGAUGAAGAACGUAGCGAAAUGCGAUACGUGGUGUGAAUUGCAGAAUCCCGUGAACCAUCGAGUCUUUGAACGCAAGUUGCGCCCGAGGGACCCUCCCGAGGGCACGCCUGCCUCAUGGGCGUUAGAAGCCCAUCCACGCUCGGUUGCCUAACUAACGGCAGAGAUGCGGACAUUGGCCCUCCGAACCGCGAGGCGCGGUGGGCCUAAGUGUGCGGCCGUCGUACGUGGCCGGGAGCGGCGAGUGGUGGGCUACUGCGCACGUCGCCCCGAGCCCCGUACCGACGCAGGGCCUUGUACGACCCCCUAACGAGGAGCAAGCCGCUGCGGCUCCGGCUGCGCGGCGCCUUCGGACCGAUACCCCAGGUCA
rnacentral:sRNA from 1 species